UAGGGAAUCUUCGGCAAUGGACGAAAGUCUGACCGAGCAACGCCGCGUGAGUGAAGAAGGUUUUCGGAUCGUAAAACUCUGUUGUUAGAGAAGAACAAGGACGUUAGUAACUGAACGUCCCCUGACGGUAUCUAACCAGAAAGCCACGGCUAACUACGUGCCAGCAGCCGCGGUAAUACGUAGGUGGCAAGCGUUGUCCGGAUUUAUCGGGCGUAAAGCGAGCGCAGGCGGUUUCUUAAGUCUGAUGUGAAAGCCCCCGGCUCAACCGGGGAGGGUCAUUGGAAACUGGGGGACUUGAGUGCAGAAGAGGAGAGUGGAAUUCCAUGUGUAGCGGUGAAAUGCGUAGAUAUAUGGAGGAACACCAGUAGCGAAGGCGGCUCUCUGAUCUGUAAAUGACGCUGAGGCUCGAAAGCGUGGGGGGCAAACAGG
rnacentral:rRNA from 1 species